rnacentral:rRNA from 1 species
GUAAGGCUCCCAGUAGACGACUGGGUUGAUAGGCCGGAUAUGGAAGCACGGUAACGUGUGGAGUUGACCGGUACUAAUAGGCCGAGGGCUUGUCCUC